AGCUUUCUGAAUCCGUGCUGAGAUUUCGUCAGACACCAAUUCAUUAGGGCUGAUCAGACUUCGAAGGUAAGUGAAGUU
rfam:Schistosoma mansoni, Puerto Rico, WGS project CABG01000000 data, contig: 0153